rnacentral:rRNA from 1 species
UACGUAGGGUGCAAGCGUUGUCCGGAAUUAUUGGGCGUAAAGAGCUCGUAGGCGGUCUGUCGCGUCUGCUGUGAAAACCUAGGGCUUAACUCUGGGCGUGCAGUGGGUACGGGCAGGCUAGAGUGCGGUAGGGGAGACUGGAAUUCCUGGUGUAGCGGUGAAAUGCGCAGAUAUCAGGAGGAACACCGGUGGCGAAGGCGGGUCUCUGGGCCGUAACUGACGCUGAGGAGCGAAAGCAUGGGGAGCGAACAGG